AGCUUUGCGCAGUGGCAGUAUCGUAGCCAAUGAGGUUUAUCCGAGGCGCGAUUAUUGCUAAUUGAAAACUUUACAUUGUCUCUAACUAAUCAUAUAGAGGAGAUCAAAUCCUCAAUGAAUUAUAACCUGUUGUAGU
rnacentral:snRNA from 14 species